UGCAUGCAUGUAUAGUGUUCCGUAUUAUCAAGCAUUCAAAUGUUUGUUAGCCAUGCAAUGUGUGUUGCAAGCGUUUUGUGGUCAGGUCAAUAUAUAUAUAGGGCUGAAGGAAUUGACAGCCGAGGCUCCAUUAAUUUUGGGAAUCGUGUGUAUACUACUAUAAUUAUAGGCUAAUAAUUAUGAGCUGAAUAUAUAUCAUUGACUCAACUAUAUAGAGUUCAUGUCACUAGUUCCUCUAUACUCCCUCACAGAUUGCGUCUAAGAAGAUACAUUUGGGCGGCCUGCCUGGAGGUUGCACUAAAGGGGACAUCAACCAGGCCCUCCGCAUGUCAGAUUCAAUCAAAGAAGGUGCACUUAUAGCUGGCCUACAUGUAGGUUCAACCGAAGGGGAUAUCAGCCACGCCCUCCGCAGGUUUCGCCUCUUCGCUACUUUUAAAGCUCAAAAAUCGGCCCAAGAGGCAAUAUUAUUAAAAAGAAGUUUUGUUGCCAUUAAUGGGAAAAAUGUUGCAAUUCAGAAAAUAAAAAAGUAACUGAUAUUAAUGUUCGUCUGUGCAUGUUGUCUAUAAUACUAUAUAAUUAUUAUGAUGCCAA